UACGGAGGGUGCAAGCGUUAUCCGGAUUCACUGGGUUUAAAGGGUGCGUAGGCGGGCAGGUAAGUCAGUGGUGAAAUCUCCGGGCUUAACCCGGAAACUGCCAUUGAUACUAUCUGUCUUGAAUAUCGUGGAGGUGAGCGGAAUAUGUCAUGUAGCGGUGAAAUGCUUAGAUAUGACAUAGAACACCAAUUGCGAAGGCAGCUCACUACGCGAAUAUUGACACUGAGGCACGAAAGCGUGGGGAGCAAACAGG
rnacentral:rRNA from 1 species